CAAGUUUUAAAUUACUAAUUUGCCCUUAAGGCUGCAAAAACUCUCCCUUUAUAUAGUUUAUAGAUAGAUAUCGCUUGUACUACCUUUAUGCCACAGUUUUUGAUUCCAUGAAGGAAACGUUGUCUAAUUAAAAAAUGUCCCCCCUGAGAUUUUAUAUUUGCACCCAGACCCCCACUUACUCUCUCUCUCACACUCACAGUCACGCAGUCACGCUCUCAACCUCUCACUCACGAUUCACGCUCACCCGUCACCAGUCACCACGCCCUCACCCUCUCGCACGGCGCACCACCACCACCGACCACCAACCACCAGAUCAGCAGAGGCUCUGCGGCUCUACCCUAGGAAUUCUUCAGAUGCCUUGCUAUAUGCCAUACUGUGCUUCCCCAGGGGGAUGAGUCCCUUGAGAAGAUCUGCUAUCAAGCUGCAUCACCUGAUGAGUCUGCUUUGGUAAUUGCUGCGAAGAACUUCGGUUUUUUCUUUUACAGGUUCAGACUUCUUUACUAUGUUCUAGUUUUCUGUAUAAUGCUUGUAUCAUUGUGCCUCACCUAUCUUUAUGAAACAAAAUUUAUUCUAUCAUUUAAAAGGGUAUGUGUUUUAAAUGCCCUAUCCUCUGAAGCCUCUUAUUUGAGAAAAUUGGUAAAACUGUAGCCUCUUAUUUGCUGAGUAUCUCUAGAGAUGCCCCUGUAGAUGCUUUGGAUCUGCGCUGCACAGAGAAUUUUCCUCUGUUUGAGCAUUGCUUUCUCAAGAUGGGACUCCACAAUCAUGUCUUUUUUACAGUUUGAAGGGAAAACGGAUUCAUUGUGGUUCUUUUAGUACUUUAAUCCUUUGUACUACUUGUUGUUUUUUCUUUACUUAUUUCUUUACUGUUGUUAUCUCUUGUACUAGCCUUGUGCUCAUAUCAAUUAAAUUUGGCUUAUAAAAAAAAUGAGCUUCUCGUCUGGUUCAAGUGUUCAAGAUUUGGUAAAUUUGUCAAAUGAGUUUGUAAUACUUUGAACUGAUUGAGUUGUAUAAUUUUUGAGUUGUAGUAUGAUUGAAUUGUAUAAUUUUUUAGUUGUAAUCUGAUUGAGUUGUAUAA